rnacentral:rRNA from 1 species
UUCGCAAUGCCCGAAAGGGUGACGAAGCGACGCCGCGUGUGGGAAGAAGGCCUUCGGGUUGUAAACCACUGUCGGGAGUUAGGAAAUGUAAGGGUGCUAAUAGUAUCCUUACUUGACUAAGGCUCCGGAGGAAGCCACGGCUAACUCUGUGCCAGCAGCCGCGGUAAUACAGAGGCGGCAAGCGUUGUUCGGAAUUAUUGGGCGUAAAGAGCACGUAGGCGGCCUUGUAAGUCAGUUGUGAAAGCCUUCUGCUUAACGGAAGAACAGCAUCUGAUACUGCAAGGCUAGAGUGCGGAAGGGGAGAGUGGAACUUCUGGUGGAGCGGUGAAAUGCGUAGAUAUCAGAAGGAACACCGGCGGCGAAGGCGACUCUCUGGUCCGUACCUGACGCUGAGUGUGCGAAAGCUAGGGGAGCAAACGGGAUUAGAUACCCCGGUAGUCCUAGCCGUAAACGAUGGGCACUAAGUAGAG